UACGGAGGGGGCUAGCGUUGUUCGGAAUUACUGGGCGUAAAGCGCACGUAGGCGGCUUUGUAAGUUAGAGGUGAAAGCCCAGAGCUCAACUCUGGAAUUGCCUUUAAGACUGCAUCGCUUGAACAUCGGAGAGGUGAGUGGAAUUCCGAGUGUAGAGGUGAAAUUCGUAGAUAUUCGGAAGAACACCAGUGGCGAAGGCGACUCACUGGACGAUUGUUGACGCUGAGGUGCGAAAGCGUGGGGAGCAAACAGG
rnacentral:rRNA from 1 species